rnacentral:rRNA from 1 species
GAUGAACGCUGGCGGCGUGCCUAACACAUGCAAGUCGAACGGGGUCAUUAAGGAAAAAUCCUUCGGGAUUCGGAAUUCUUGACCUAGUGGCGGACGGGUGAGUAACGCGUGAGCAAUCUGCCUUUGGAUGGGGGAUAACAGCCGGAAACGACUGCUAAUACCGCAUGAUGCAGCGAGACCGCAUGAUUUUGCUGCCAAAGAUUUAUCGUCCAAAGAUGAGCUCGCGUCUGAUUAGCCAGUUGGCGGGGUAACGGCCCACCAAAGCGACGAUCAGUAGCCGGACUGAGAGGUUGAACGGCCACAUUGGGACUGAGACACGGCCCAG